UCUGUGCAGAGCUUGUUGGCCUCUUGUCUCUUACAACUACCUUAAAUGAAGGGCCCAUUGACACAUCCAUUUGAAUGAGGUUUUACUCAACCUGUAACAAGUUUUCACCCAGCUCAUAGCAAUAUGAAUGACAGGUCCAGAAUGAUAACUAAACUCUGGACCACUUGGAAAAAGACUUGAUGAACUGAAGACAGAGAUGAAUUGACACAAUCCCAUCAGCUGCUAUCUGCUUCAUGACCCAAAUAAGGAUGAUAAUCCUACAUUCCUGGUGCAGGAGAAAGGUUUUCAAGUAGGAAGAUUUCAGAAGGAAAAACACAAAAAGAAACAGCUUCAGUCUCCAGAAUUUUGAAACCUUGCUAGCAAUUGGCACAAGAGGAAGAGCAGAGGUUACAUUUUAAGGGAUUAUUUUUCAUUAUUUGCUUUAAAAUAGGUUGAUGUUCAUAGUUCUUUUUAAACCUAUCUCAGCACACACAGUGCUCAUGCUGAUUAUCUAAUGCAUCAACUUUCUCCUACUCAAGCAUAU